AACGAACGCUGGCGGCAUGCCUAACACAUGCAAGUCGAACGGGAUCCGAGCUUCGGUUCGGUGAGAGUGGCGGACGGGUGAGUAACGCGUGGGAACCUGCCCAGUGGUGGGGGAUAACUGCGGGAAACUGCAGCUAAUACCGCAUGAGCCCGAGAGGGGAAAGAUUUAUCGCCAUUGGAGGGGCCCGCGUUCGAUUAGGUAGUUGGUGAGGUAACGGCUCACCAAGCCUUCGAUCGAUAGCUGGUCUGAGAGGAUGAUCAGCCACACUGGGACUGAGAUACGGCCCAGACUCCUACGGGAGGCAGCAGUGGGGAAUAUUGGACAAUGGGGGGCAACCCUGAUCCAGCAAUGCCGCGUGAGUGAUGAAGGCCUCGGGUUGUAAAGGUACUCUUUUGUCCAGGACGAGUGAUGACGGUACCUGGAGAAUAAGACCCCGGCUAACUCGUGCCAGCAGCCGCGGUAA
rnacentral:rRNA from 1 species